GCUAGCGUAGCUUAAUACUUAAAGCAUUAGUCUUGUAAACUAAAGAUAGUUUCUUAACUCCUUAGCU
rnacentral:tRNA from 1 species